UGCGUGUGUGUGUGUGUGUGUGUGUGUGUGUGUAUAUAUAUAUAUACACACAUAUACACACACUCACAGACACACACA